UGUCUGUGGGCCUCAUGCUUCUACUCCUGUCCAGUCAGAGUAUGGGUAUAAGCUAUUCUAAUAUAAGCAUUUACCUUUUGUUUCAGCAGCUCCCUGCCUCCUGCACAUGCAAACAUUUGAAUUUCCUCUUGGCUCAGAGUGUUUGCAUUGCAAGUGACAUCUGGCUGACAGGAACUUGAAGAAAUGGGAUACGAAGUGAAUGCUGCAGUUACCACAGCAUCAUAUUUAUCAAAAGGCUUAAGGUUGGUCUGUCUUUGUUUAACAUAUGAAACUCACAGCAAUGAAUAAGAAACAGCACUAUUAUUUUUUUUUAACUGAGCA
rnacentral:lncRNA from 1 species